rnacentral:tRNA from 1 species
CAAUGUGGCGCAGUCGGUAGCGCAACUGAUUCGUAAUCAGUAGGUCAGGAGUUCGAAUCUCCUCAUUG